UACGUAGGUGGCAAGCGUUGUCCGGAUUUACUGGGCGUAAAGAGCGCGCAGGCGGUCGUUCAAGUCGCGUGGGAAAGCCCCCGGCUCAACUGGGGAGGGUCACGCGAUACUGAUCGACUCGAAGGCAGGAGAGGGUAGUGGAAUUCCCGGUGUAGCGGUGAAAUGCGUAGAUAUCCGGAGGAACACCAGCGGCGAAGGCGGCAUCCUGGACUGGUCCUGACACUCAUGAGCGAAAGCGUGGGGAGCGAUCCGG
rnacentral:rRNA from 1 species